rnacentral:misc_RNA from 1 species
UGGCUCUCGCAUCGAUGAAGAACGCAGCGAAAUGCGAUAAGUAAUGUGAAUUGCAGAAUUCAGUGAAUCAUCGAAUCUUUGAACGCACCUUGCGCCCUCUGGUAUUCCGGAGGGCAUGCCUGUUUGAGUGUCAUGAAGCCUCAACCCCCUCGGGUUCAUUCCUGAUUGGGUUGGAUUUGGGUGUCUGCCGCCUCACUGCGGCUCGCCUUAAAAGCCUUAGUUGGUGUCUCGGACGUCCUCUCUGGACCGACGGCGUAUUAGGUUCCGCUGUUGGCACGGGGUUGCACGGUUCUUGAAGCCUGCUCACAACCCGCCCUCGGGCACUACUCUUGACUUUGACCUCAGAUCAGGUAGGACUACCCGCUGA